UACGGAGGGGGCUAGCGUUGUUCGGAAUUACUGGGCGUAAAGCGCGCGUAGGCGGCCCUGCAAGUCGGGGGUGAAAGCCCGAGGCUCAACCUCGGAACUGCCUUCGAUACUGCGGGUCUCGAGUCCGGGAGAGGUGAGUGGAAUUCCUAGUGUAGAGGUGAAAUUCGUAGAUAUUAGGAAGAACACCAGUGGCGAAGGCGGCUCACUGGCCCGGAACUGACGCUGAGACGCGAAAGCGUGGGGAGCAAACAGG
rnacentral:rRNA from 1 species